AGCGAACGCUGGCGGCAGGCCUAACACAUGCAAGUCGAGCGCCCCGCAAGGGGAGCGGCAGACGGGAGAGUAACACGUGGGAACGUGCCCUUCAGUUCGGAACAACCAAGGGAAACUUUGGCUAAUACCGGAUGCGUCCGAAAGGAGAAAGAUUUAUCGCUGAAGGAUCGGCCCGCGUCUGAUUAGCUAGUUGGUGGGGUAAUGGCCCACCAAGGCGACGAUCAGUAGCUGGUCUGAGAGGAUGAUCAGCCUCACUGGGACUGAGACACGGCCCAGACUCCUACGGGAGGCAGCAGUGGGGAAUAUUGGACAAUGGGCGCAAGCCUGAUCCAGCCAUGCCGCGUGGAUGAUGAAGGCCCUAGGGUUGUAAAGUCCUUUCGGCGGGGAAGAUAACGACGGUACCCGCAGAAGAAGCCCCGGCUAACUUCGUGCCAGCAGCCGCCGUAA
rnacentral:rRNA from 1 species